rnacentral:lncRNA from 1 species
CUGAACAUAAUUGAAGGCAUUAAAGUGAACGAAAAUAAUAAAUUGAACAGUCCUAAAAUAAAAUAUGCGAACUAAUUAAAAUGCAAAUAAAAAAAAUUUAAAAUUCAUCUCAUUAAAUUAAAAAGGCAACAAGUAAUUACAUGAUGCAGUGGUGAAUUAAAAAAAAAAAAAACAAUGAAACAUUAAAAGGCCGUUACUUCACCCACAUUGAAUCACCAUAUGCUUCUAAAAUAAAAUGAAAAUGAAAUGUGCAUGGUCCUUUC